AUUGAACGCUGGCGGCAGGCCUAACACAUGCAAGUCGAACGAGUGGCGGACGGGUGAGUAAUGUAUGGGAAACUGCCUGAUGGAGGGGGAUAACUACUGGAAACGGUAGCUAAUACCGCAUACCCUCGGAUGUGCCCAGAUGGGAUUAGCUAGUAGGUGGGGUAAAGGCUCACCUAGGCGACGAUCCCUCGCUGGGCUGAGAGGAUGACCAGCCACACUGGAACUGAGACACGGUCCAGACUCCUACGGGAGGCAGCAGUGGGGAAUAUUGCACAAUGGGCGCAAGCCUGAUGCAGCCAUGCCGCGUGUAGUAAGAAGGCCUUCGGGUUGUAAAGUACUUUCAGCGGGGAGGCGUUACCCGCAGAAGAAGCACCGGCUAACUCCGUGCCAGCAGCCGCGGUAAUAC
rnacentral:rRNA from 1 species